GUAAGUGGUAUAAGCAACAAGUAAGGCCUAAGCUUCUGAGCGACCCAAUUUAGGUCGCAACAAGUUCUUUCCAACAAAGUGUUCUUGGCUUCAAAACUAGUGAACUUCUUGCUCAAAUAGUAUAUGUCCUGUUCUUUCUUCCCAGCCACGUCAUGUUGCUUGAGAACACAUCCAAAAGAAUUCUCUAACACAUUCAAGUACAAAAACAAA
rnacentral:lncRNA from 1 species